rnacentral:rRNA from 1 species
AGUGAACGCUGGCGGUAGGCCUAACACAUGCAAGUCGAACGGCAGCACAGUAAGAGCUUGCUCUUACGGGUGGCGAGUGGCGGACGGGUGAGGAAUACAUCGGAAUCUACUUUUUCGUGGGGGAUAACGUAGGGAAACUUACGCUAAUACCGCAUACGACCUACGGGUGAAAGCAGGGGAUCUUCGGACCUUGCGCGAUUGAAUGAGCCGAUGUCGGAUUAGCUAGUUGGCGGGGUAAAGGCCCACCAAGGCGACGAUCCGUAGCUGGUCUGAGAGGAUGACCGGCCAACCGGGAAUGGAGAACCGGGCCAAACCCCCAGGGGAGGCAGAGGGGGGGAAUUUUGGAAAAGGGGCGCAAGCCUGACCCAGCCAAACCGGGGGGGUGAAGAAGGCCUUCGGGUUGUAAAGCCCUUUUUUUGGGAAAAAAAAGCAGCAGGUUAAUACCCCGUUGUUUUGGCGGGACCCAAAAAAAAAGCACCGGCUAACUGCGG